GAUGAACGCUGGCGGCGUGCCUAAUACAUGCAAGUCGAGCGAACAGACGAGGAGCUUGCUCCUCUGACGUUAGCGGCGGACGGGUGAGUAACACGUGGAUAACCUACCUAUAAGACUGGGAUAACUUCGGGAAACCGGAGCUAAUACCGGAUAAUAUAUUUAACCGCAUGGUUCAAUAGUUAUAGACGGUUUUGCUGUCACUUAUAGAUGGAUCCGCGCCGCAUUAGCUAGUUGGUAAGGUAACGGCUUACCAAGGCGACGAUGCGUAGCCGACCUGAGAGGGUGAUCGGCCACACUGGAACUGAGACACGGUCCAGACUCCUACGGGAGGCAGAAGUAGGGAAUCUUGGGAAAUGGGCGAAAGCCUGACGGAGCAACGCCGCGUGAGUGAUGAAGGUCUUCGGGUCGUAAAACUCUGUUAUUAGGGAAGAACAAAUGUGUAAGUAACGAUGCACGUUGUGACGGUACCUAAUCAGAAAGCCACGGCUAACUACGUG
rnacentral:rRNA from 1 species